GUCUCGUUGGUGUAGUUGGUUAUCACGUCUGUCUAACACACAGACGGUCGUCGGUUCGAAUCCGACACGAGACA